rnacentral:rRNA from 1 species
UACGUAGGGUGCAAGCGUUAAUCGGAAUUACUGGGCGUAAAGGGCGCGUAGGCGGCCUGUUAAGUCGAACGUGAAAUCCCUGGGCUCAACCCAGGAACUGCGUCCGAUACUGGCAGGCUUGAAUUCGGGAGAGGGAUGCGGAAUUCCAGGUGUAGCGGUGAAAUGCGUAGAUAUCUGGAGGAACACCGGUGGCGAAGGCGGGUCUCUGGGCCGGUACCGACGCUGAGGAGCGAAAGCGUGGGGAGCGAACAGG